AAGGAAUAUUGGACAAUGGAGGCAACUCUGAUCCAGCCAUGCCGCGUGAAGGAAUAAGGCCCUAUGGGUUGUAAACUUCUUUUAGACGGGACAAAACCCCUUUACGUGUAAAGGGUUGAUGGUACUGUCAGAAUAAGCAUCGGCUAACUUCGUGCCAGCAGCCGCGGUAAUACGAAGGAUGCAAGCGUUAUCCGGAAUUAUUGGGUUUAAAGGGUGCGUGGGCGGACUAAUAAGUCAGUGGUGAAAGCCUGCAGCUUAACUGCAGGAUUGCCAUUGAUACUGUUAGUCUUGAGUACAGUUGAGGGCGGCGGAAUGUGUCAUGUAGCGGUGAAAUGCUUAGAUAUGACACAUAACACCGAUUGCGAAGGCAGCUUGCUAAGCUGUAA
rnacentral:rRNA from 1 species